rnacentral:lncRNA from 1 species
CAGACCCAUCUUGGUCUUCCUGCAUUCCACUUCCCUUUGGUUCGGUUUGAGCUGCAGUAGCCACCAUGAGACUGGGCGUACUUCUCCUGCUCUCGGUGCUUUGGACAGCACAAGGAUUCCCUGCACAUAAAGUAUGCGUCGGAGGAACAGGCGGUCCCCCAGGUAUAUCCAAUGGACCUUUCCCAGGCGGUCCCCC